CUGGUUGUCAGAGGCUCUGAAUACAGACGUUCCUGACUGUGCAGAUUGAUGGAUGACAAUCAACACAGUUCCAGACAGAGCCAGCUUCACCUUGUCUCCUCAGGGUUAUGCAAUAUCGUGAGAUCAUCAUUAUAGGAGAGACAGAGAGAGAGUGUGAGCAGAGGAGGGGCAGAGAGAGAGGGGGACAGAAGAUCUGAAGUGGGCUCUGCACUGACAGCAGAGAGCCCGAUGUGGGGCUCAAACUCACGAACCACGAGAUAGCGACCUGAGCCGAAGUCAGACACUUAACUGAGCCACCCAGUCACCCCCAGGAUCUGCCCAUCCAUCGGUCACCCUCAAAGUGUCCCCUGUGGAUCUGUGAUUGGCUCAUUAGAAAGGAAACCCAAACAGCAUUUUU